CUUUGCUGGUGGUGGUGCUGUGUGGAGGGAUUGUUCUCUGCUCACAGAAAAGCCCAGCACUCUUGAAAGUCUUUGUCUUGGAACUCGUUUCCCUGGGAUCUCCCUUACCAGUGUGCCGGGUUACGUGGGAAUAUCCAUGGUGCUCAGCAAAUCCUCUUAAUGGGACAGUGUAGAAAACAAGACUUUCAGUGAAAUCGCAGGCUUCGCCCACUUCCAAAUAGACUUUCCCAACCUGUGCAUACUUCUUGUUUUCUCUUUGUCUCUUAGCAGAAUGAAGUGCCACAAGCCAAAUCCUGACCUCAUUUACACCAGUAAAAUCUGAGUCUGUUCCAGAAAACUGCUGAAGUUGUUUUGGGCUUACAGUGAUGAAAAUGAGAGCGGAAUCUGCCUCAUUAAUUCCCCCAGUCCACAGAAAGUAAAUGAAUCCAAGAGGAAAUAGCUCUUCAGAAGGGAGCCCUGGAAAGAAUUAGAGACAGACUUAAUGGGAUUAUGGGAGAAAAAUGCUUUAACAAAUCCAGAUCAAUCCUCUCUUCAAAACACUCACGGUGCCAAAUGAAUAAAAACACUGUUUUGGAAAUGAAAAGGUUAAAAAGCUAUGAAAACAAAAUCUCUCAGCCUGUUCUGAUGAUAGCAGUCCCACUGCAGAAUGAGCGCAACCCAGAAAGGCUGAGUCAGCAAUGCCCUACCUGAUGCUUUGUGUUGGUCUGUGGGACUUGGAGGGAAGAAACUCAAAUUUCCCGCUUUAACCAUGGGGUCCUUCUGUAAUUUCAGGUUUGAUAAAAGACACAUGGAGAUCAGUCAGCAUUACAAGUAGGGAUGGAAGGACAGGUCUGGCAGCCCGAAACCUUGUCACCUAGCCAGUCAGAGACAUUCAGCUUCCAGAGCCAUUCCUCCAGUCCAUGCUUUGGCUUUCUAUUCUCCUGUUAAUUACCAUCUUCUUGCCAUUCUUCACCCCCUCGAAACUGUGUAUGGCACCAGAGCUGGAUUUGCCACAAAUAUGCGUAAAAGACCCUGCUUCUGCAGUGUUGUGGGAUGUUUCAGGAGCUGCAUGUAGAUGGCCUGCCUUUGUGCAGUCGAGUGGAAGGGGGAAAAAUUCUGAGCAGCUGGCAGGAGCCAGCCUCUUCCAGCCAUGCGAGUGCACUUGUGUGCUGGUAGAAGGAAAACCAGGAAGGAGCAUAAGGCUCAUCCUGUGCCCAUUUGUAGCAGCUGGAGGCAACAUGAGCUGUUACCCACAUGUAUGCACUGCCAAUCCACAGCAAGGUGGCUUUCUCCAUUUGCCCAGCUACCCUUGGUCAACCUGAAUGAAGAGCUAGGACGAAGUAAUUAGAGCAUGGUCUUCUCUGUUUAUAUCCAAGAGCACACAGUUACCAAAGGCAAUCCUGCAUUGAGGAUGCUGACUUUCUAUUCUGAUAGUCUGAUGAUCUCUGAGGAAGAACUGGGCUUUAUGAACAGACCCCCAGGUUCCAAGGUUG
ensembl:lncRNA